UUAAAUUGAAGAGUUUGAUCAUGGCUCAGAUUGAACGCUGGCGGCAGGCCUAACACAUGCAAGUCGAACGGUAACAGAAAGCAGCUUGCUGCUUUGCUGACGAGUGGCGGACGGGUGA
rnacentral:rRNA from 1 species